UUUGAAUACAAGGACAAAUUCUGUCACAAAUCCCUCUUAAUUUUCAAGUAUUUUAAAGCCGUUUUUUGAAUAUAAAAACCAAUGAAAAUGACCAAACCCCUGAAUAUAUGGCUGAGUUUCAAAAUUCAAAUCCCUCGCGUGUUCAUUUCCUUUCCUAGAUUCAUCGAUCGUCCUCUCGCGUGUUCAUCUUCCUCCAACAACACCGUUUCACCGCUAAACCAAAACUCUCCGAUUGAGUUUCAACCACCGCCACACAACGAAGAAGCGCCACCUCCACCUCCGCUUCUUCUCUCUGAUAAAANNNNN
rnacentral:lncRNA from 1 species